AAUGAACGCUGGCGGCAGGCCUAACACAUGCAAGUCGAACGGGUCCUUCGGGACUAGUGGCGGACGGGUGCGUAACGCGUGGGAACGUGCCCCUUGGUACGGAAUAGCCCCGGGAAACUGGGAGUAAUACCGGAUGUGGUCGAGAGACGAAAGAUUUAUCGCCAAGGGAUCGGCCCGCGUUGGAUUAGGUAGUUGGUGGGGUAAUGGCCUACCAAGCCGACGAUCCAUAGCUGGUUUGAGAGGAUGAUCAGCCACACUGGGACUGAGACACGGCCCAGACUCCUACGGGAGGCAGCAGUGGGGAAUCUUAGACAAUGGGGGAAACCCUGAUCUAGCCAUGCCGCGUGAUCGAUGAAGGCCUUAGGGUUGUAAAGAUCUUUCAGGUGGGAAGAUAAUGACUGUACCACCAGAAGAAGCCCCGGCUAACUCCGUGCCAGCAGCCGCCGUAAAAC
rnacentral:rRNA from 1 species